UACGUAGGGUGCAAGCGUUGUCCGGAAUUAUUGGGCGUAAAGAGCUCGUAGGCGGUCUGUCGCAUCGGCUGUGAAAACCCGGGGCUCAACCCCGGGCCUGCAGUCGAUACGGGCAGACUAGAGUGCGGUAGGGGAGACUGGAAUUCCUGGUGUAGCGGUGAAAUGCGCAGAUAUCAGGAGGAACACCGGUGGCGAAGGCGGGUCUCUGGGCCGUAACUGACGCUGAGACGCGAAAGCGUGGGGAGCAAACAGG
rnacentral:rRNA from 1 species